UGGGGAAUAUUGGGCAAUGGGCGCAAGCCUGACCCAGCAACGCCGCGUGAAGGAAGAAGGCUUUCGGGUUGUAAACUUCUUUUACCAGGGACGAAGAAAGUGACGGUACCUGGAGAAUAAGCCACGGCUAACUACGUGCCAGCAGCCGCGGUAAUACGUAGGUGGCGAGCGUUGUCCGGAUUUACUGGGUGUAAAGGGCGCGUAGGCGGGAAUGCAAGUCAGAUGUGAAAUCCAUGGGCUUAACCCAUGAACUGCAUUUGAAACUGUAUUUCUUGAGUGUCGGAGAGGUAGACGGAAUUCCUAGUGUAGCGGUGAAAUGCGUAGAUAUUAGGAGGAACACCAGUGGCGAAGGCGGUCUACUGGACGAUAACUGACGCUGAGGCGCGAAAGCGUGGGGAGCAAACAGG
rnacentral:rRNA from 1 species